UCCUCCUACUCCUGUAUCAGAAAUAAGGACGGCUAAUUAUGUUCUCAACUAUCUAAUUAAGAACCCACUUCAUCCAUUAUUCUGACAUGCAUACUGCCAUACAAUAAAAUUGUUAAUAUCAAACCUGUUCUCUUAUCCUUCCUCCUGUCAUAAUGACUGUCUGAAUCAUCAUCACUUUCUGAUCUUUCCCUGGAAAUAUGCCAGAAAUCAGAGGAAUGAGAAUAAAAGAAUCUUGUGGAUGUAGGUACCAGGUGGCUAAUGAGAUGCACCUUUUCCUUGAAUGCUCUACAUAUUCCCUCUAUACUGAUUGUUUAUCUCUUUCUGGUUCUUGUAAAGAAGCUUUUCCGCACAACUGUUUUGAACAAAACGCAUAAGAUGCAGCUGUCAAAAUGAAAUAUAAAUUUCACCAGGUUGUUAACCCACCAAAUUAUGACCUGAAGAUGAAGUAUUUUAUUUUACUUUUUGAUAUCAAACAUGAGAUUUUAUUAAUGUACAUCCGCCACUGC
rnacentral:lncRNA from 1 species